AGUGGUUACGCUGCUAUCGCUGAAACCACGUAGCUUGCAUGACGUAGUUCCGCACGAAAGUAUUUUAUUCACAAGACACUUUUUUUAAAAUGAUAAAUUCAACAUUUGACCACAAAAAAAAAAACUAACAAACAGAUAACUCAACAAUAUGAUAUGUUAAUAUAACUUUUGCACAUUUCUCCUUCGAUUCAGAGAAAUACACUUUUGGUAGCAGAAGGUUACGGAAGUGCAUUGUGUUGUGGGCGGGGUUUGCGGGUUCUACAUUUCGCCUAAAAUAUCUUAAAUAAACAAAUAUAUUUAGAUUUUCUUAACGUAAAUCAUCUAGAUGCAGUGUAAUUAAUAGAUUAGUUGUACUAGAUAUUUGAUAUAUUCAGUAGAUAUAUCUUUUUACAACCCUAAUUUCCAACCCUAAUUUGCAAACCAGAUAAACUACAACUGCAGUGCUUGAUUUGUCACAAGCUGCAUUGCGUAGCUAUAGGGCAUUGUAGUUUUUAAAACAUUCGUGUCUUUCUUAGAAUUGGAUAUUGCUAAUAGUGAGUUGAGAGUACAAUGAGGAGUUUAGGCGGAUUGUAAACAUAUCUAUGUAAUCAGAUUUUAAAUGUCUAAAUUUUAAAUGGGUUCAAAUUACUUUUAACCAGAUUUGACAGUAUCCCAAGCUGUUGACUAUAUUCACAUCAUAAAUGAGGACAAGAGCUCUCUAUAACAGUUGGUCUCAUGUGUGUAGCCCUUUUUAUUGCUUAAUUAUAAGCCUUCAAAUAUGCACCAAGGUGAUGUUUCAAAGGUCAGUAUUUCAAAACAGGAGCCAUGUAGAAUCUUCAUACUUACAUAUGUUACUCUCCAGGUCAAGACCUUUCUAAAAAUGUAUGUGGUUUAGCUCUACGACAAAGUUUUAAUUUUCUCAUUUCACAUGCACAAGCCAUCUCGGGUGUAGUUUCAGAGAGCUCUUUGAAGGCUCAAUAGGCAUAACCUAUAUAAAAAGAAGCUAUUUGCUUGUUUGUUUGUUUCUGACUUUGUAAACAGAUUUAUGAACCCACAACAUGACAAAUACCUGGUCCGCACACACACAGACACACACACACACACACAAAGACUCAUUUUGCAUUUCUGUUUGGUACACACAUGGCUUAUAUAUAUAGUCUAUCUAUUUAUGGGAUGGUUCACCCAAAAAUGAAAAUUCUGUCAUCAUUUACUCACCCUCAUCUCAUUCCAAACCUGUAUGAGUUGCUUUCUUAUGUUGAACAUAAAAUAAGAUAAUUUGAAGAUUGCUGGUAAUUGCUGGUAAAAGUUUUUACAAGGUUUCUAAGCAGAAGAUGGUUGAAUGUUUUUUCAGUCCAUGUUACCAAAACUCAUGUGUCAUUUAAAAAGCAUGUUUGAAAGCAUGUCAAUUAAUUUCUUUGCAUUCAUCUAGAUGCAAUGUAAUUAAUAGUUUGGCUUUACUAGAUAUUUUAUAUGUUCAGUAAAUAUAUAAUUUUACAACCCUAAUUUGCAAACCAGAUAAACUACAACUAUUUUAAAUGUAUAAUUAAUUAUAUAUAAUAAAUAUAAUUGUGACCGACAGCACUUUGAAUUGAAAUGUAGUCUACCCACGGCAGACAACUACAAACAAAAGUGGAACACACCAGUCC